UGCAAAAUCAGCUCAGUCGGUAGAGCACGAGACUCUUAAUCUCAAGGUUGUGGGUUCAAGCCCCACAUUGGGCAA